UACGGGGGGGGCAAGCGUUGUUCGGAAUUACUGGGCGUAAAGGGCGCGUAGGCGGUUCGCUAAGUUGGAUGUGAAAACUCUGGGCUCAACCCAGAGCCUGCAUCCAAAACUGGCGGGCUAGAGUUCUGGAGGGGGUAGCGGAAUUCCUGGUGUAGCGGUGAAAUGCGCAGAUAUCAGGAAGAACACCCGUGGCUAAGGCGGCUCUCUAGUACGGUACUGACGCUGAGACGCGAAAGCGUGGGGAGCGAACAGG
rnacentral:rRNA from 1 species